UACGGGGGGGGCAAGCGUUGUUCGGAAUUACUGGGCGUAAAGGGCUCGUAGGCGGCCAACUAAGUCGGACGUGAAAUCCCUCGGCUUAACCGGGGAACUGCGUCCGAUACUGGAUGGCUUGAGAUUGGGAGAGGGAUGCGGAAUUCCAGGUGUAGCGGUGAAAUGCGUAGAUAUCUGGAGGAACACCGGUGGCGAAGGCGGCAUCCUGGACCAACACUGACGCUGAGUGAGCGAAAGCCAGGGGAGCAAACGGG
rnacentral:rRNA from 1 species